UACACUCCUACGGGAGGCAGCAGUGGGGAAUUUUGGACAAUGGGCGAAAGCCUGAUCCAGCAAUGCCGCGUGUGUGAAGAAGGCCUUCGGGUUGUAAAGCACUUUUGUCCGGAAAGAAAUCCUUGGCUCUAAUACAGUCGGGGGAUGACGGUACCGGAAGAAUAAGCACCGGCUAACUACGUGCCAGCAGCCGCGGUAAUACGUAGGGUGCGAGCGUUAAUCGGAAUUACUGGGCGUAAAGCGUGCGCAGGCGGUUUGCUAAGACCGAUGUGAAAUCCCCGGGCUCAACCUGGGAACUGCAGUGGUGACUGGCAGGCUAGAGUAUGGCAGAGGGGGGUAGAAUUCCACGUGUAGCAGUGAAAUGCGUAGAGAUGUGGAGGAAUACCGAUGGCGAAGGCAGCCCCCUGGGCCAAUACUGACGCUCAUGCACGAAAGCGUGGGGAGCAAACAGGAUUAGAUACCCUUGUAGUCCCAU
rnacentral:rRNA from 1 species